CAAACAGAUCGUGAUGAGCUAACUGCGCAAAUAAAAUCGGAAACCUCCCCCUAAAUCAGCACGGUUCCCUUCCUCGUCUCGUACCGGAUUCAUCCGCACGCCCGGCGGCCAGUGGCGGAGGCAUCUCCAUGACCUGAGCAAGGCAAAUCCGGCUGAUAUAGAUUCUCCAAAUCCGACUGGUACGUGGUGGCAACAAUCCUGCGAGUUCAUCUACAGAUAUGUCACUGACAAGAACUAACGUUGUUGAAUCCAACGACGAAUAUAUGGCGGAAGAAUCAAUCGAACAUCACAAUUCUGCUGAACAAGAUGUCCAAGAAAUAGCUACUAAUGAUGAAGAAGGCUUCACAGAUUGUGAUGAUGCUAAUGCAGAUGAAAAUGAAGAUGGUAAGUUUAGUACCUUCAUUUAUUUUUGAACAAACCAUUCUGUAUUUCUAUGAUAGGAAAUUUUGGAUCCAAUGGCUACAAUUGGGCUUGAACCUUCGGUUGAUGGACAUAACUCAAACAUAAAAAGAAAGCUUGCUCCUUCGGCUGAGGGACUACGACUAGUUAAAAACGACCCAAUAAUUUAUAGAACAAGCCAAGUGGUUCAAAUAGUGCAGAUUUGCAAGCAUCAAACAACCAUUCUGUUCCAAAUAAGGAGGUUUAUUUACUUAAAUACUCUUUGGAACAUGUCAUUGCCGAGGAUUAAGUUGUUACGCUUACACCUUUUGCAAUUACAUAUAUGGUACCCAGAACUUGACGUGUAUCCUUUUAUCCCAGAACAAAGAAACUAUGAUUCAUAAUGGUGCCAGUGCAUGACAACUAGAAAAAUGUUCUGCUGCACACAAGGUAUCUUCAUAGUCUCACAUACAAAAUUAUGAUGAAACUAUAGUGCUCCCAUGUUUAUGUGUUUACUUUCUGCUAUGAGAAUGUUGUCCAGAACCAAGAAAAUUUUGAUUAGAAUUUCAGUACACAGCAAGGGGAAAUAAAUUUCUCUGAACACAAGGUAUAUUUCCAUUACCAUAUACAACAUGUUCAAAAUAUAUUGUUUUGAUGUUUAUGUAUCUGGUGGUCAUCUUGCUAUCAGAAUUCUGUUUAAAACAAAGAAACUUUGCUUGAGAAUGUGAGUGCACGUCAGGCAGAAAAAACUUCUGCUGUAAAGAAGCUGGUAUCUUUCCAUAAUCACAUACAAACUGUUCAAACUAUGGUGCUGGCUUUUUUAUUUGUUUAUUACUUCUUUGCCAUCAGACUGCUGUCCAGACCAAAAGAACAACGAAAGGUACUAAUGUAGCAAGUAAGAGUGCUCAAAGUAGUAGUGGUUCUCUGAGUUGGUUGGGUGCGACUAAACUACAUGCAGGAACUAUAUUAUUCUUGAAGAGACUGAAAAACCGUAACAGGGACAUAGCUCUUGCUGCAAGUGUAUGGUGUGAUCCUAAAGUUAAACUUGAUGGUGCACAAAAUAGAAACAAAUUUUGGACAGGGCAUUUCAAUAUGGCACUUGUGAAAACUGAAAAUAUGAAGAUAAAUGGAUGAGUAUAUGGGUGUGUGGCGAGUAUACUUCCAUGAUGAUGCCGAUGUUUUGAUUCAUGGUGAUGAUGAUGGAUGCUUUCAGUUUUAGUUAAGUUGUAGGGAUGACAUUCCUGUUGGAUGUAGUUACUCGUUUAUGUUUUAGUUAAGUUGUAGGGAUGUUGAUGGAUGCUUUCAGUUUAAGCUUCGUUGUCAAGAAAAUAGUUAGAUCAUGCAUCACAUUUGGAUGAUGUUCCUCCUCCAAUAUCCACUAUUGUAAUCCAACAACUUUAUCUAUUUUAUGAUUUCUU